AAGACUAUACUUUCAGGGAUCAUUUCUAUAGUUUUUAACUUGAGAAAUGUGUUUCUAAAAUGUUUGGUCUCGCUAACCACGAUGAAGAGUGAAUGAUACUCUUUCCUGAGCGCGAAGCGGGCGGAGAACUUUGAUUUAUUUCAUGUGUUUUCUGCUUUUGAUGACCGUUCGCUGUCUCCUCGGGGGCAAUGAGGGGAAGAGUAUGAUCAGAGUGGUA
ensembl:snoRNA